rnacentral:tRNA from 1 species
AGAGAUGGCCGAGUGGUUGAUAGCUCCGGUCUUGAAAACCGGUAUAGUUCACAAGGAACUAUCGAGGGUUCGAAUCCCUCUCUCUCCU